AUUGAACGCUGGCGGCAGGCCUAACACAUGCAAGUCGAACGGUAACAGGAAACAGCUUGCUGUUUCGCUGACGAGUGGCGGACGGGUGAGUAAUGUCUGGGAAACUUCCUGAUGGAGGGGGAUAACUACUGGAAACGGUAGCUAAUACCGCAUAACGUCGCAAGACCAAAGAGGGGGACCUUCGGGCCUCUUGCCCUCGGAUGUGCCCAGAUGGGAUUAGCUAGUAGGUGGGGUAACGGCUCACCUAGGCGACGAUCCCUAGCUGGUCUGAGAGGAUGACCAGCCACACUGGAACUGAGACACGGUCCAGACUCCUACGGGAGGCAGCAGUGGGGAAUAUUGCACAAUGGGCGCAAGCCUGAUGCAGCCAUGCCGCGUGUAUGAAGAAGGCCUUCGGGUUGUAAAGUACUUUCAGCGGGGAUGAAGGGAGUAAAGUUAAUACCUUGGCUCAUUGACGUUACCCGCAGAAGAAGCACCGGCUAACUCCGUG
rnacentral:rRNA from 1 species